ensembl:lncRNA
CACUCAUCCCCACGUCCAGUCCACUUCAGGCGAUUCCUGGCAAAGAUGGCGUAGCUUUUGUCCAUCCAGGGCCUCAAAGGGGCCCACAUCAUGAAGCGCCCCAACCAGCCCAGGCCGACGGCGCCGUACAUGACUGAGAACGCUGGGAUCCCACGGUGUACCUGCAGAGUUCACAGGAAGGUAAUGUAACAACACAAUGCGAUGAUCCGCUUAUACCGCCACCUGCUGGUUGUCAGCGCUAUUCUGUUAGAGGGACCGCUUUCUUUGGAGAGAACUGCCCUCGGCCAGCAUCGCCCCAGCACACUCUAAAUUAUACAUCUUGUUUCCUGUUUCUUCUUGUUUGUCUCCGUUAUGUUUUCUGUGUGUC